rnacentral:rRNA from 1 species
GUGGGGAAUUUUGGACAAUGGGCGAAAGCCUGAUCCAGCCAUGCCGCGUGCAGGAUGAAGGCCUUCGGGUUGUAAACUGCUUUUGUACGGAACGAAAAGACUCCUUCUAAUAAAGGGGGUCCAUGACGGUACCGUAAGAAUAAGCACCGGCUAACUACGUGCCAGCAGCCGCGGUAAUACGUAGGGUGCAAGCGUUAAUCGGAAUUACUGGGCGUAAAGCGUGCGCAGGCGGUUAUAUAAGACAGAUGUGAAAUCCCCGGGCUCAACCUGGGAACUGCAUUGGUGACUGUAUAGCUAGAGUACGGUAGAGGGGGAUGGAAUUCCGCGUGUAGCAGUGAAAUGCGUAGAUAUGCGGAGGAACACCGAUGGCGAAGGCAAUCCCCUGGACCUGUACUGACGCUCAUGCACGAAAGCGUGGGGAGCAAACAGGAUUAGAUACCCUGGUAGUCC